UUUUGUGAUGACCACACUCAGAAUCUCGUUCGGCUGAUGGCUGUGAUGAGGGUUUGGCUCUGAUUUGG
rnacentral:snoRNA from 7 species